AUGAAGACCAACUUAGAGUCUUGAAGGAAAAUCUGCCAUAAUGGAAUCAUGAAGUUGGAUUUGGCAAGUUGAAAAGAAAAUCUUUUAUGUUUUUGGAGCAAAGUUUCAUAAGGAACUUGGGCAUUGCUGACAUGACCAGACUUUGUUGGCAAGCCAACUUAGUGCCUUUGGACUAACUGGCUUGCAAGACUUUUGGAGUCAAUCAUACUGUUGUGGAGUUGCACGUAGACUGGUUCAGAAAAAUCACAUUCACAAGCACAGAUGCAUCUGUGUGAAUAUUAAUCUUUUAGAGUACAACAGAAGAGUGUCAUACUUCAAGAGA